ACCAGGAACAGCAAACAGUCAUCAUCACUGAUGUAUAGCACCUGGGGAGGACUGGAAGAGGCUCUGUCAUUCAAACAAAGACACUUUCAAGGAAAGAAGUUCCAAGUCUCCUCCAAAGACACCAAUGGAUCUCCAUCCACCUGCAUCUUCGGGGCUUUUGAAAGAUGUCCAGCAAGAAGGGAGUAGUCCAUUGUGAAACGAUUGGUUGCAUGCUUUCGAGGCAAGACUCGGUUCACAGAAUGCAAGGCUGUUUCCAGAGUCGGUGGAGACCAGAGAGCCUCUGGAGCCUGCAUGUUGAACCAAGCCAAGAUUGGGCGUUGAGCUGUAAGGAGAGGCUGCAGUGACGUAGAAAUGUAAGCACGUGAGAACAGUCCUUUGAUUUCAUUAUUGAUUACAUGACUACUUUGGGAACAUAAUACAUGAACUGAUUUAGGUUAAUUGUUUAAACCAGAUAGACAGUUUUCUGUUCUUUAAGACAGUGGUCCCCAACCUUUUUGUAGCUGCGGACCAGUCAACGCUUGAAAAUGUGUCCCACGGACUGGGGGGGGUUGG